UGGCCUUGCAGCAAGCACAAAGCGAGCUAUUCUUUCGCCUUUUACUAAAGAAUAUCGUGUGCUUGCUGUUGAAAACGGCAUAUGUUAAUAUUUUGAGGGUGCACUUCACGCAGAGUGCC